rnacentral:rRNA from 1 species
CCUACGGGAGGCAGCAGUGGGGAAUAUUGCACAAUGGGGGAAACCCUGAUGCAGCGACGCCGCGUGAGUGAAGAAGUAAUUCGGUAUGUAAAGCUCUAUCAGCAGGGAAGAAAAUGACGGUACCUGAGUAAGAAGCCACGGCUAACUACGUGCCAGCAGCCGCGGUAAUACGUAGGGGGCAAGCGUUAUCCGGAUUGACUGGGUGUAAAGGGAGCGUAGACGGCAGUGCAAGUCUGGAGUGAAAGGCGGGGGCUCAACCCCCGGACUGCUCUGGAAACUGUACGGCUGGAGUGCAGUAGAGGUAAGUGGAAUUCCUAGUGUAGCGGUGAAAUGCGUAGAUAUUAGGAGGAACACCAGUGGCGAAGGCGGCUUACUGGACUGUAACUGACGUUGAGGCUCGAAAGCGUGGGGAGCAAACAGGAUUAGAUACCCCUGUAGUC